UACGUAGGAUGCAAGCGUUGUCCGGAAUUACUGGGCGUAAAGCGUGCGCAGGCGGUGAUGUAAGACAGUUGUGAAAUCCCCGGGCUCAACCUGGGAACUGCAUCUGUGACUGCAUUGCUGGAGUGCGGCAGAGGGGGAUGGAAUUCCGCGUGUAGCAGUGAAAUGCGUAGAUAUGCGGAGGAACACCGAUGGCGAAGGCAAUCCCCUGGGCCUGCACUGACGCUCAUGCACGAAAGCGUGGGGAGCAAACAGG
rnacentral:rRNA from 1 species